CUGCUUGAUUUAGGGGCACAUAUACUAAAAUUGGAAUGGCAUAGGGCAGAUUAGCAUGGCCCCUGUGGAGGGAUGGCAUGCAAAUACUUGAAAUGUUCCUUCUUUUU
ensembl:snRNA U6 U6 spliceosomal RNA